UGGGGAAUAUUGGACAAUGGGCGAAAGCCUGAUCCAGCAAUACCGAGUGAGUGAUGAAGGCCUUAGGGUUGUAAAGCUCUUUUAGCAAGGAAGAUAAUGACGUUACUUGCAGAAAAAGCCCCGGCUAACUCCGUGCCAGCAGCCGCGGUAAGACGGAGGGGGCUAGCGUUGUUCGGAAUUACUGGGCGUAAAGAGUGCGUAGGCGGUUUAGUAAGUUGGAAGUGAAAGCCCGGGGCUUAACCUCGGAAUUGCUUUCAAAACUACUAAUCUAGAGUGUAGUAGGGGAUGAUGGAAUUCCUAGUGUAGAGGUGAAAUUCUUAGAUAUUAGGAGGAACACCGGUGGCGAAAGCGGUCAUCUGGGCUACAACUGACGCUGAUGCACGAAAGCGUGGGGAGCAAACAGG
rnacentral:rRNA from 1 species